rnacentral:rRNA from 1 species
GUCUAUGGCUAUGUUACCCUGAACAAACCUGAUCCCAUCUGUCUCGGAAGCUAAGCGGGGUCGGGCCUGGUUAGUACUUGAAUGGGAGACCACCUAGGAAGACUAGGAGCUAUAGGUG